GACAGAGGGUGCAAACGUUGUUCGGAAUUACUGGGCGUAAAGCGAGUGUAGGCGGUUCGAUAAGUCGGAUGUGAAAGCCCCGGGCUCAACCCGGGAAGUGCACUCGAUACUGUCGAGCUAGAGUAUCGGAGAGGUUGGUGGAAUUCUCGGUGUAGAGGUGAAAUUCGUAGAUAUCGAGAGGAACACCGGUGGCGAAGGCGGCCUUCUGGACAGUGACUGACGCUGAGACGCGAAAGCGUGGGGAGCAAACAGG
rnacentral:rRNA from 1 species